UGGCCUGAAACUUAAGACUGCUUGAUAUAUCAAACAAGAGGUGCACAGCUGCCCAGAGUCUGGGGGCAGGCUCAGACCUCAGGGGCAUGCCGGACCAGGGAGAGGGGCAGAGACCAUGGCUGCCUCAUCCCUGUGUCCACAGAUCAUCCUACAAGGCCGGGCCCAGGAGGCACAUGGUGAAUAAAUGCACGAGUGAAGAGCUGACAGCCUGGAUGGGGGAAGAGUCCAAAAAUCUGAGCUGUUCAGGAGCGUGUGGGAAGAGACCCAGUGCCUAAAGAAGCUUUAUCAACUUAAGAAUGCUGAACAUAUAUCUUGUGACCUACAUUCAAACAUCUAUACCUAGGAUGCAACCAAGAACUAAUCAUUAACCUAUGUAAUCGCACGUAACCAAACCAACGUGCUGAUCAAGGGACUGUUCCCUUUUCUCCCCUUUGUUUUUCACUCUUCUGUGAUUAUGAAAAUACUAAAGUUCUGCUGACCCUUCAGAAAGCACUUCCCAAAGCAACUUGGUGGUGUUUUCCCAGGCUGUGGUCAUACAUAUUGGCUCAAAUAAACUCUUUGGUAUUUUA